rnacentral:rRNA from 1 species
UGGGAACGUGCCCUUUGGUUCGGAAUAACUCAGGGAAACUUGAGCUAAUACCGGAUAAGUCCGUAAGGAGAAAGAUUUAUCGCCGAAGGAGCGGCCCGCGUCCGAUUAGCUAGUUGGUGGGGUAAUGGCCCACCAAGGCUACGAUCGGUAGCUGGACUGAGAGGAUGACCAGCCACACUGGGACUGAGACACGGCCCAGACUCCUACGGGAGGCAG